rnacentral:rRNA from 1 species
UACGUAGGGUGCAAGCGUUGUCCGGAAUUAUUGGGCGUAAAGAGCUCGUAGGCGGUCUGUCGCGUCGGCUGUGAAAUCCCGGAGCUCAACUCCGGGUCUGCAGUCGAUACGGGCAAACUGGAGUACUGCAGGGGAGACUGGAAUUCCUGGUGUAGCGGUGAAAUACGCAGAUAUCAGGAGGAACACCGGUGGCGAAGGCGGGUCUCUGGGCAGUAACUGACGCUGAGGAGCGAAAGCGUGGGGAGCGAACAGG